UUUUUUUUUUUUUUUUUUUAUUUUUUUUUUUUUUUUUUUUUUUCGUCGGAAAGAAUCUAAGUUUAUGCAAAACCAAAGUCAUCGAGGCAAUGCUCCAGACCGAGAUAGGCCAGGGCAAAAUUACCGAAGAAAUGUCAACCAAAGUAA
rnacentral:ribozyme from 1 species